rnacentral:rRNA from 1 species
GUCGACGACUUCCGUUAUUGAUUAUGACGUACUUGUACUGAUUGAGAUUUUAACACGAAGUGAGUGGCGAACGGGUGAGUAACACGUGGGUAACCUGCCCAGAAGUAGGGGAUAACACCUGGAAACAGAUGCUAAUACCGUAUAACAGAGAAAACCGCAUGGUUUUCUUUUAAAAGAUGGCUCUGCUAUCACUUCUGGAUGGACCCGCGGCGUAUUAGCUAGUUGGUGAGGUAAAGGCUCACCAAGGCAGUGAUACGUAGCCGACCUGAGAGGGUAAUCGGCCACAUUGGGACUGAGACACGGCCCAGACUCCUACGGGAGGCAGCAGUAGGGAAUCUUCCACAAUGGACGCAAGUCUGAUGGAGCAACGCCGCGUGAGUGAAGAAGGGUUUCGGCUCGUAAAGCUCUGUUGUUAAAGAAGAACGUGGGUAAGAGUAACUGUUUACCCAGUGACGGUAUUUAACCAGAAAGCCACGGCUAACUACGUGCCAGCAGCCGCGGUAAUACGUAGGUGGCAAGCGUUAUCCGGAUUUAUUGGGCGUAAAGCGAGCGCAGGCGGUCUUUUAAGUCUAAUGUGAAAGCCUUCGGCUCAACCGAAGAAGUGCAUUGGAAACUGGGAGACUUGAGUGCAGAAGAGGACAGUGGAACUCCAUGUGUAGCGGUGAAAUGCGUAGAUAUAUGGAAGAACACCAGUGGCGAAGGCGGCUGUCUGGUCUGCAACUGACGCUGAGGCUCGAAAGCAUGGGUAGCGAACAGGAUUAGAUACCCUGGUAGUCCAUGCCGUAAACGAUGAUUACUAAGUGUUGGAGGGUUUCCGCCCUUCAGUGCUGCAGCUAACGCAUUAAGUAAUCCGCCUGGGGAGUACGACCGCAAGGUUGAAACUCAAAAGAAUUGACGGGGGCCCGCACAAGCGGUGGAGCAUGUGGUUUAAUUCGAAGCUACGCGAAGAACCUUACCAGGUCUUGACAUCUUCUGACAGUCUAAGAGAUUAGAGGUUCCCUUCGGGGACAGAAUGACAGGUGGUGCAUGGUUGUCGUCAGCUCGUGUCGUGAGAUGUUGGGUUAAGUCCCGCAACGAGCGCAACCCUUAUUACUAGUUGCCAGCAUUAAGUUGGGCACUCUAGUGAGACUGCCGGUGACAAACCGGAGGAAGGUGGGGACGACGUCAAAUCAUCAUGCCCCUUAUGACCUGGGCUACACACGUGCUACAAUGGAUGGUACAACGAGUCGCGAGACCGCGAGGUUAAGCUAAUCUCUUAAAACCAUUCUCAGUUCGGACUGUAGGCUGCAACUCGCCUACACGAAGUCGGAAUCGCUAGUAAUCGCGGAUCAGCAUGCCGCGGUGAAUACGUUCCCGGGCCUUGUACACACCGCCCGUCACACCAUGAGAGU